AUUGAACGCUGGCGGCAUGCCUUACACAUGCAAGUCGAACGGUAACAGGCCGCAAGGUGCUGACGAGUGGCGAACGGGUGAGUAAUGCAUCGGAACGUGCCCAGUCGUGGGGGAUAACUACUCGAAAGAGUAGCUAAUACCGCAUACGAUCUAUGGAUGAAAGCGGGGGACCGUAAGGCCUCGCGCGAUUGGAGCGGCCGAUGUCGGAUUAGGUAGUUGGUGGGGUAAAGGCUCACCAAGCCAACGAUCUGUAGCUGGUCUGAGAGGACGACCAGCCACACUGGGACUGAGACACGGCCCAGACUCCUACGGGAGGCAGCAGUGGGGAAUGUUGGACAAUGGGCGCAAGCCUGAUCCAGCAAUGCCGCGUGCAGGAAGAAGGCCUUCGGGUUGUAAACUGCUUUUGUACGGAACGAAACGGCUCUGGUUAAUACCCGGGGCUAAUGACGGUACCGUAAGAAUAAGCACCGGCUAACUACGUG
rnacentral:rRNA from 1 species